UGAACCCAUCUGGUGCUUGCUACCUUAAUAUACAACUGAAAUCUCAAAAAUUAAGGCAUUCUAUGCAGUGAAAUGGUUCAGUACUUGCAUAACAAGGUGUUGACAAAGAAGGCUAAAUGGUGAACCUUUUGCAUUUUCAAGUAAAAAUUAGAAAGCUUCAUUCAAAAUAGCAGUACGAACCAUGAAGAUGGUUCUCAAAGUGAAG
rnacentral:misc_RNA from 1 species